UACGGAGGAUGCAAGCGUUAUCCGGAUUUAUUGGGUUUAAAGGGUGCGUAGGCGGGACUGUAAGUCAGGGGUGAAAUACUGCAGCUUAACUGUAGCAUUGCCUUUGAAACUUCCGUUCUUGAGUACAGUUGAGGUAGGCGGAAUGUGGUGUGUAGCGGUGAAAUGCAUAGAUAUACCACAGAACGCCGAUUGCGAAGGCAGCUUACUAAGCUGUUACUGACGCUGAGGCACGAAAGCGUGGGGAUCAAACAGGAUUAGAUA
rnacentral:rRNA from 1 species